GGGCCCGCACAAGCGGUGGAGCAUGUGGUUUAAUUCGAUGAUACGCGAGGAACCUUACCAGGGCUUAAAUGUAGUGGGACAGGUCUAGAGAUAGACCCUUCUUCGGACUCAUUACAAGGUGCUGCAUGGUUGUCGUCAGCUCGUGCCGUGAGGUGUCAGGUUAAGUCCUAUAACGAGCGCAACCCCUAUCGUUAGUUGCCAGCGGGUAAUGCCGGGAACUCUAGCGAAACUGCCGGUGCAAACCGAGAGGAAGGUGGGGAUGACGUCAAAUCAUCACGGCCCUUACGUCCUGGGCUACACACGUGCUACAAUGGCCGGUACAGAGAGCAGCCACUACGCGAGUAGGAGCGAAUCUAUAAAACCGGUCUCAGUUCAGAUCGUAGGCUGCAACUCGCCUACGUGAAGGAGGAAUCGCUAG
rnacentral:rRNA from 1 species